UACGGGGGGGGCAAGCGUUGUUCGGAAUUACUGGGCGUAAAGGGCUCGUAGGCGGCCAACUAAGUCAGACGUGAAAUCCCUCGGCUUAACCGGGGAACUGCAUCUGAUACUGGAUGGCUUGAGUUCGGGAGAGGGAUGCGGAAUUCCAGGUGUAGCGGUGAAAUGCGUAGAGAUGUGGAGGAACACCGAUGGCGAAGGCAGCCUUCUGGGCCAAUACUGACGCUCAUGCACGAAAGCGUGGGGAGCAAACAGG
rnacentral:rRNA from 1 species